rnacentral:rRNA from 1 species
UUAAGUGACUAAGCGUACACGGUGGAUGCCCUGGCAGUCAGAGGCGAUGAAGGACGUGCUAAUCUGCGAAAAGCGUCGGUAAGGUGAUAUGAACCGUUAUAACCGGCGAUGUCCGAAUGGGGAAACCCAGUGCAAUUCGUUGCACUAUCGUUAACUGAAUACAUAGGUUAACGAGGCGAACCGGGGGAACUGAAACAUCUAAGUACCCCGAGGAAAAGAAAUCAACCGAGAUUCCCCCAGUAGCGGCGAGCGAACGGGGAGCAGCCCAGAGUCUGAAUCAGCUUGUGUGUUAGUGGAACGGUCUGGAAAGUCCGACGGUACAGGGUGAUAGUCCCGUACACCAAAAUGCACAGGNUGUGAACUCGAAGAGUAGGGCGGGACACGUGGUAUCCUGUCUGAAUAUGGGGGGACCAUCCUCCAAGGCUAAAUACUCCUGACUGACCGAUAGUGAACCAGUACCGUGAGGGAAAGGCGAAAAGAACCCCGGCGAGGGGAGUGAAAAAGAACCUGAAACCGUGUACGUACAAGCAGUGGGAGCACCUUCGGGUGUGACUGCGUACCUUUUGUAUAAUGGGUCAGCGACUUAUAUUCUGUAGCAAGGUUAACCGUAUAGGGGAGCCGCAGGGAAACCGAGUCUUAACUGGGCGUUAAGUUGCAGGGUAUAGACCCGAAACCCGGUGAUCUAGCCAUGGGCAGGUUGAAGGUUGGGUAACACUAACUGGAGGACCGAACCGACUAAUGUUGAAAAAUUAGCGGAUGACUUGUGGCUGGGGGUGAAAGGCCAAUCAAACCGGGAGAUAGCUGGUUCUCCCCGAAAGCUAUUUAGGUAGCGCCUCGUGAANUCAUCUUCGGGGGUAGAGCACUGUUUCGGCUAGGGGGUCAUCCCGACUUACCAACCCGAUGCAAACUACGAAUACCGAAGAAUGUUAUCACGGGAGACACACGGCGGGUGCUAACGUCCGUCGUGAAGAGGGAAACAACCCAGACCGCCAGCUAAGGUCCCAAAGUCAUGGUUAAGUGGGAAACGAUGUGGGAAGGCACAGACAGCCAGGAUGUUGGCUUAGAAGCAGCCAUCAUUUAAAGAAAGCGUAAUAGCUCACUGGUCGAGUCGGCCUGCGCGGAAGAUGUAACGGGGCUAAACCAUGCACCGAAGCUGCGGCAGCGACACUAUGUGUUGUUGGGUAGGGGAGCGUUCUGUAAGCCUGCGAAGGUGNNNNNNNUCCAGGCAAAUCCGGAUAAUCAAGGCUGAGGUGUGAUGACGAGGCACUACGGUGCUGAAGUAACAAAUGCCCUGCUUCCAGGAAAAGCCUCUAAGCAUCAGGUAACAUCAAAUCGUACCCCAAACCGACACAGGUGGUCAGGUAGAGAAUACCAAGGCGCUUGAGAGAACUCGGGUGAAGGAACUAGGCAAAAUGGUGCCGUAACUUCGGGAGAAGGCACGCUGGUGUGUAGGUGAAGUCCCUGCGGAUGGAGCUGAGACCAGUCGAAGAUACCAGCUGGCUGCAACUGUUUAUUAAAAACACAGCACUGUGCAAACACGAAAGUGGACGUAUACGGUGUGACGCCUGCCCGGUGCCGGAAGGUUAAUUGAUGGGGUUAUCCGUAAGGAGAAGCUCUUGAUCGAAGCCCCGGUAAACGGCGGCCGUAACUAUAACGGUCCUAAGGUAGCGAAAUUCCUUGUCGGGUAAGUUCCGACCUGCACGAAUGGCGUAAUGAUGGCCAGGCUGUCUCCACCCGAGACUCAGUGAAAUUGAACUCGCUGUGAAGAUGCAGUGUACCCGCGGCAAGACGGAAAGACCCCGUGAACCUUUACUAUAGCUUGACACUGAACAUUGAGCCUUGAUGUGUAGGAUAGGUGGGAGGCUUUGAAGCGUGGACGCCAGUCUGCGUGGAGCCAACCUUGAAAUACCACCCUUUAAUGUUUGAUGUUCUAACGUUGGCCCCUGACCGGGGUUGCGGACAGUGUCUGGUGGGUAGUUUGACUGGGGCGGUCUCCUCCCAAAGCGUAACGGAGGAGCACGAAGGUUAGCUAAUCCUGGUCGGACAUCAGGAGGUUAGUGCAAUGGCAUAAGCUAGCUUGACUGCGAGCGUGACGGCGCGAGCAGGUGCGAAAGCAGGUCAUAGUGAUCCGGUGGUUCUGAAUGGAAGGGCCAUCGCUCAACGGAUAAAAGGUACUCCGGGGAUAACAGGCUGAUACCGCCCAAGAGUUCAUAUCGACGGCGGUGUUUGGCACCUCGAUGUCGGCUCAUCACAUCCUGGGGCUGAAGUAGGUCCCAAGGGUAUGGCUGUUCGCCAUUUAAAGUGGUACGCGAGCUGGGUUUAGAACGUCGUGAGACAGUUCGGUCCCUAUCUGCCGUGGGCGCUGGAGAAUUGAGGGGGGCUGCUCCUAGUACGAGAGGACCGGAGUGGACGCAUCACUGGUGUUCGGGUUGUCAUGCCAAUGGCACUGCCCGGUAGCUAAAUGCGGAAGAGAUAAGUGCUGAAAGCAUCUAAGCACGAAACUUGCCCCGAGAUGAGUUCUCCCUGAGACUUUAAGUCUCCUGAAGGAACGUUAAAGACGAUGACGUUGAUAGGCCGGGUGUGUAAGCGCAGCGAUGCGUUGAGCUAACCGGUACUAAUGAACCGUGAGGCUUAACCUU